GAUUUUGGAUCCAAUAAGCGACGCCGUGUUUUUAUGAAGUUUUGAUCUCCCAUCUUGAAGACCGGAGGUUAGGGGACCAGGACCACGACGUUGUUUUGAUCGCCGGCGGCCGUACUUCAACGCCGAUCAUAUCCGACAAGAACAGGUGAAUCUCUCUCCUUUCCAUUGUGAAUGGGAUGGGACUGAUGAAAUGCAAUUUAACUCUGACCUGAAUCCCGACAGUGGAGCUGAGUUAGAAGGAUGAAAACUGAUCAUGCCAGGAUCAAAGAGAUUGCAAAUGAUCAGGAAGUCUAACACAAAAUACUUUGUGUCGCCUUUCCAUGUAUCUUAUAGCAAUACUACCAAUUUAGUCUGAUCUGAUUCACCAUAGUGCGACUGCAAGGGAAACCGUAUUACAGGUGCAUUCAGAAGCGCCCGGUUCGAGAGAAUUCCUUGUCAAAGAAGUAUUGAGGAUCCAAUUGUGCAGUACAUAGUGAUUGGCAGAAAAUAAUUCAUUUAACCAAAUUUAAUUGACUGUGACACAAGAUUCGGUUGGUUAUUUUGUGCAAAUUGAGGGAUCUGCCUGCCUCUUAUUUUUACCUAUGCUUCAUGGGGAAAUCCUUGCAACCUGAGCUGCUUCUGAAUAUGAGAAUUUUGGGGGUUCGGGUCCUGUACAAAGCACAACAGAUUAUUUGUUCCAGAAGUUUAGAAGAGGUUAGGAAAUGUUUCCUUUGCUGCAAUUCGCCAUUGUUGGGGGAAUAGGUUUGGAAUCGACAAGCGAUGCUGCACCCCUUCUGAAGUUAACCCUGUUAUAUAUGUGGAGCUUGUUAGACAAAAUCUUCAAAUUUUCUUCUCUUGUGUGCAUGUUGAGUUCUAAUUUUGUCCUCGUUGAAAUUGUGUCAGGACCGGCCUUCUUAGGUCCGCAAACUUGCCCCAUGAUUCAUGUAAUUCGCUCAAGUUUUAGUUGCAUACAAUCUUACGAGGAACCAAGUGUAAAUUUCUCCGGUUAUGGUACACGGAGACCUCUUUAACAUCUACAACUACAAAAGUUCCCUGUCCUUUUCAA